UGGGCGGCGGCGCGUCCUGCGCUCGGAUGUCGGAGACGGAGGAGAUGCCGCGGGGGAAACGGAGGAGCCGCCCCCGGCUCCAGCCGCCGGGGCAGAGACGCCCCGGGUGCCGCUCCCCGCCCGGCCCCUGCCCCGGGCCGCCCGCCAGAUGCUACUGCCUGCCAUGAUGAUCCUUGUGAUUUAUGCCAUUCCCCAAGGACAGAGCGGAGAGAUCCUUGGUUUGGACAGGUCCUGCUUGGCUCCUCCACCAGCCUUCUUCCACAGAACCACAACUUGGCCUUAGCCAUGGCCAUUCCUACCAGCUGACAGGGCCACCAGAGCUCUUAGUAAAUGCUGUAAUAUGAAGGAAAUAUUCUUUGAGCUCCUUUAAUCCAUCCACAAGACUGAUCCAGUGCUUAUCAGCCUCAGUAUUAGCAAGGGGGAAAACAGGUAAUUAUUGCUCUGUCUUGCAUGUGGACAGCCUCCAAGGCAGACGCCAUUCUCCUCCCAUAGUAGCCCUGGGUGUUCAGCUCUCCUGCAUGAGUAACCUGACCUUUGCUGUUAGAAAAAAUAAAGUAUAAAAUACCACCUUAUUUGGUCAUUUUUACCAUGGAAGUGGCGUUUCCUGGAGCAGCUACCUGUUAAAUCCUUCCUACAGACUGCAGCCUGGCUGGGUUCAAAAUCACUCAUACUCUGGGUUUACCAUGAGCACAAAGUCUUAUUCCAAAAGGCAGUCUUGGAGGCUGAUUCUCUUGGGCUGAUAAUCUGAGCAGAAUUGAGGAUCAGCUAGUUAGUUACAUGCUUUAAAUUGCCACUACAUGUAUCUGUGUGCUUUAGGAGGAAACUUUUACUCAGUCAUGUUUGGGGUGGAUAUUUACUUGAUAAGUGUUCUGCACAUCUCUUUCAAGGAGAAUGUGUGCACAUCCAUGUCUUCCAUACCCUGGAAGACAUGAAAAUCAGAUGGCAAUGCUUGGCUUUAAAAAGAUUUCACUGACAGUCUAAAUGAAAUAACUCUCUGGAGUUCAAACCAGCAGGCAUUGUCAGAUAGAAGGGAUUAAAAGGCUUUUUAAUGUGGCUUAGUAGUGUACAGAAGAUUGGCUUACUUGUAUGAGCUCUUCUUUUGUCACAUUGAUCUUUAUUUUGCAUUGUGCUUAGUACAACAGAAACUGAAGGCUGAAGUCUUCUUUCCUGAAUCAUCUGACAUGACUUGACCCUUUUAUUGCUUAGUAAAAUAUUUUUUUGUGAAGGAAGAAUUGAUUUUUGCCAGUGUAGCCACUGUUGAGUAAUAGCUGAAGAAUACCAACUUGUAAUAAUUUUAUGAACACUGUAUGUGGCCAGGUUGGUGAGAGGAAGUUACUAUACAGCGGGUUAUGCUACUUUAUAUUACUUUCCUCUAUGGAUGUAUUGAUCUAACUUAAUAGGGAGCUAGCUGAUGAAGGAAUAAAAGGCAAUUCAGUGGUUCCCCUGUGUCAGCUAUAUGUGACUAAACCCAUGAGGUGGUAAUUACAGGAAUGAUAGCUCCAGUUCUGAGGGAUGCAGCUGGUUUGUCUGGCUACGCUAAAAAUCAGAGGAGGAUAGUCAGCAGAGACAGAUGGAAGAAAUAAUUUAACACAGAGGCAGACUUUGCAGAAGAGGCUGGAAGAAGCUGGGCCUUCCUCUCUGCUGCAAUGGAAAGGUAAGUCAUACAGAAGGAAAGGCAAGUGUGUUGACUGGAUUAUUGCUCUUAGGAUCUAUUUUGUCUUAAAUGUUUUGGUGCUAAGUAAGUGUUUUGUGGUCAGUACUUAGAGCCAGUACUUCAUGAGAGACUAAAACUGAGGUUUGGGUCUGUCUCAAGUCUGCAGAGGUAGCCAUGGUUGAUACACUGGGUAUGCAACCCGAGAACUAGGUCUGUGUGUAGCAA